rnacentral:rRNA from 1 species
AAUUCAAAACCUAGCCUAACCCCACCCACGCAAAAAACAUCUUUAUUUAACCAAAACAUUUGACAAAAUAAGUAUAUGAGAUAGGAAACUUGAAAUUAGCGCACUUGUACCGCAAGGGAAACAAGAAAGGAUUAAUUAAAACUUAAAAGCCAAAAAGCAGAGAUCACACCACAUACCUUUUGCAUCGAUGGUUUAACAAGACAAAAUAGACAAAGAGGCACUGCACCCUUUAAGCCUAUGUCGCCCGAAAUCAAGUGAGCUACCCCAGACCAACUUCUAAGAGUCAACCCGUCACUGUAGGCAAAAGUGUGGGAAGAGCCUAGGGUAGUGGUGAAAAGCCAAACGAACUUGACAAUAGCGUGGUUGUCCGACAAAUGAAUAUAAGUUCAACCUUAAAUAACACAUUUUUCUGCCGUAAAUAAAUAACUAUUUAAGAUUUAGUCACUGGGGGCACAGCUCCAAUGACCAAGGAUGACAACCUUAUAUAGUGACAACCACACAUAUCUCUCCCCAGUAGGCCUCAAAGGCAGCCAACAAAAACCUAAUGCGUUAAAGCAACUCAACCCCUAAUCCCAAACAGUACAACAACUCCUACCUCCAAUCGGACCAUUCUACACCAUAGAAAUGGACCCUGUUAAAACUAGUAAUAAGAAACAAUUCUCCAUAACGCAAGCAAAACUCAAGCAGACACAACAAUGCACCAAAAAUACCAAAAUACAACAACCAAACCAAACUGUUAACGCCAACCCAGGAGCGUGUCCUUAUGGAAAGAUAAAAAGCUGUAAAAGGAACUCGGCAACAGUAAGUCUCAACUGUUUACCAAAAACAUAGCCUUUAGCCAAUCAAGUAUUAAAGGUGAGCGCCUGCCCAGUGACUCGUUUAACGGCCGCGGGAUCCUCCACCGUGCAAAGGUAGCAUAGAUCACUUGUCUCCUAAAUAGAGACUAGUAUGAAUGGCCAAAUGAAGACUUACCUGUCUCUGUGCAGCCUAUCUAUUAAACUGAGCUUUCAGUACAAAAGCUGAAAUAAUAACACGAAGACGAAAAGACCCUGUGGAACUUAAAGCUACAGUCAACACAAUGGCCUAACGGCUUUUAGUUGGGGCAACUUUGGAAAUAAACAAAACUUCCAAUAAACUAUUAAGAUAGGACACAUCUAAACCUUUCUUCAAUGACCCAGUAUUACUGACUAAAGAGAAAAAGCUACCCCAGGGAUAACAGCGCCAUCCCCUCUUAGAGUCCCCAUCGAAGAGCGGGGGUUUACGACCUCGAU